rnacentral:rRNA from 1 species
UACGGGGGGGGCAAGCGUUGUUCGGAAUUACUGGGCGUAAAGGGCGCGUAGGCGGCCUGAUAAGUAGGGGGUGAAAUCCUGCGGCUUAACCGCAGGGCUGCCUUCUAAACUGUCAGGCUAGAGCACAGUAGAGGCAGGUGGAAUUCCCGGUGUAGCGGUGGAAUGCGUAGAGAUCGGGAAGAACAUCAGUGGCGAAGGCGGUCUGCUGGGCCGUUGCUGACGCUGAGGCGCGACAGCGUGGGGAGCAAACAGG